rnacentral:rRNA from 1 species
AUCAAAAACAUGGUUUUAAGUUAAAAAAAUUUAAAAUUAAAUCUGCUCUAUGAAAUUUAAAUGGCUGCAGUAUUUUGACUGUGCUAAGGUAGCAAAAUAAAUAGUUUAUUAAUUGUAUUCUGGGAUGAAUGAUUUCAUAAAAUAUUAACUGUUUCUGAUUAAUUAUAUUGAAAUUUAUUUUUAAGUGAAAAAGCUUAAUUAAUUUAAGGGGACGAGAAGACCCCGUAGAUUUUUAUAAAUUUUAAUUAGAUUUAAUUUAAUAGAUAUUGUUUAGUUAAAUAUUUAUUUUAAUGGGGAAUUAGUAAAAUUUUUAGUGUAGAAUUUUUACGAAUAUUUAACUAAAUUUGAGUGUCGUUAAGUUAGUGAAUAGAGUGUUAUUAAAGAUAAAAAUACCUUGGGGAUAACAGCAUAAUAAUUUUAUGAAGAUCUUAUUUAUAGAAUUGUUUAUGACCUCGAUGU